CGGCAUGGGCAAUGGCGAGGAUGACCAGGACCAGGCACCAGAUGAUGCACCCCUACGCACAAAUAAUCUUGACUGGUCUGACGAGGAGACACAUUCAAUGCUCUCCUCUGUAGUGGCUUCAAGGUCGGUCUCCUCCGACAAUGCAAACCUCUUCUUUGCUGCAGAGAGACCAGAUACAUAUAAAGGAGACGCUUUAAUGCAGUUUUGAGCUUUAUAGUUUGCAAUAUAUCUAGCGGCAAUGACAGCAGCAGGAGCAGCAGCAGCAGCAGGCGAAGAGCUGGCAGAAGCCCACACACAAGCAAGGGCUUUGAUCAAUGGCUGGCCAGAUUUACUAAAACACAUCUGCAGCCAGAGUGGAUGCUGA